ACUAAGAGUACUCCCUGUGGGUUUGGAUGCCCAACAUUUGACCUUCCGUCUUAUUUGAAAUCGUUUUUAUGAUUAGUAUUUUUAUUAUUAUUAGAUAAUAAAAUAUAAAUAGUAAUUUAUGUAUGACUUAAUUUUAAAAAAAAUCAUAAAUUUUUCAAAUAUGUAUGACUUAAUUUUUAAAAAAAUCGUAAUUUUUUAAAAUAAAAUGGACGGUUAAACGUUGGACACAGAAACUUAUGGUACACUUAAA
rnacentral:pre_miRNA from 1 species